rnacentral:rRNA from 1 species
AUUGAACGCUGGCGGCAUGCUUUACACAUGCAAGUCGAACGGUAACAGGCCGCAAGGUGCUGACGAGUGGCGCACGGGUGAGUAAUGCAUCGGAACGUGCCCAGUCGUGGGGGAUAACUACUCGAAAGAGUAGCUAAUACCGCAUACGAUCUAUGGAUGAAAGCGGGGGACCGUAAGGCCUCGCGCGAUUGGAGCGGCCGAUGUCAGAUUAGGUAGUUGGUGGGGUAAAGGCUCACCAAGCCAACGAUCUGUAGCUGGUCUGAGAGGACAACCAGCCACACUGGGACUGAGACACGGCCCAGACUCCUACGGGAGGCAGCAGUGGGGAAUUUUGGACAAUGGGCGCAAGCCUGAUCCAGCAAUGCCGCGUGCAGGAAGAAGGCCUUCGGGUUGUAAACUGCUUUUGUACGGAACGAAACGGCUCUGGUUAAUACCCGGGGCUAAUGACGGUACCGGAAGAAUAAGCACCGGCUAACUACGUG